AGGAUUUGCAUCCCCAGUACAUGCCCUGAUCGGGGGCAUUGACCCAACUUUUGGUUUUGGUCCCUGUCCCCUUCGCACCACUUACAAAAUGAGGAGGUCGUACCCCUUGGGGGUAACACACGUACGGGUUAGCACCCGGUUACUCCUAACAGCCGAUCCUGAAAGGGUGCUUAAGGGGAUCAGAAGACCACCACCACCGCCGGCCACCUCCAGGUCCGUGCCGGCGACAUCCUUCGUGUCUGCUACAUCGCCUGCUGAUGCCCUUCCUCCCGACGAUCUUCUCACUGCUGGAGAUGCUAAGGUGGAGCCAGGGGCUAUCCUGUUAAUGGAUCAAGAUAAUCACGGUUAGUAACCACUAUUCUGCUUGAUGGGUGUUCUAAUCAAGAGAUCCAGAUCCUAGUUAUCUUAACUCUAAAGUAUUAUUGUUAACAUUGGUAUCUUGAGCCAGUUUGAUCUCUGUUUAAGAACUCCAAUUAGACUCGGUUUAUGUUAUUUACUAAUCAUGGUCUAAUUCCUUAUGAAUUUGAGUAAUGUUCAUGCAUAAAUCGCUUCCGCUUACAUAAUAAUGAUGAUGACAUCUGGGUUAAGUGCUAAUUGCCCUGACUAAUGUUUGCUAAUUAUGAAAUAGCCGAAAUUAAAUUUUCGCCUAAUAUAUUAGCACUGAUUGUGGCCUCGGUUCAGAAAAGGAUUCAAAUUUUUUUUUAAGAAAAGAUCCCGAGAAAAAAAAAAGCAGUUUUUCCCCAAAUCCCGAGCACUAGAAGCAAAGAAUAAAUCCUCAACGUGUUUGGGCUGGGGGUGCUUACCCGCUCCAGAUUGGAGAUGUUGCCGUGCCGCACACACAUCAUGGACGCCUACGAGCAUGGCCACCACGCCAUGCGCGUCAACGUCAGUACCUCAUGCUGCAGCAGCAUCGUUGAAGGCGUGCCAUCCGCAGCGGCGGACGAGCCGCAGGUUUACGACGCCUAAUGGAUGACGCCGAGUGCCUCGCGUCACCGCCGGCGGGCACUUAUGGCCGACCUGGCACCACUGCUCUCUCCUCCGGCAUCCCGCAAUAAAUGUCGUGUAGCUGCACGGGUGGCCACGCUCGACGGAGCAGCGCGCGGGAUCCCUCCGUUGCACGCUGCUCCGGCGAGCGGAGCCGCCGAAUCGCCAUGGACACCGGGCUCUCGCGCCUUGCUUUGUGCCGCCGCCAGUGGUCGGUCGCGAGCGGAGAAAGCGGGGCAGGAGAGAAGAAUGCGCUAGGGUUUGCCAGCGCGAGUUAGUUUUGUUCCGAAGGGAGCAACUUACAACCGUUAGAUGGGAUCGACGGCUGACGUUGAUGCUCCGCUGCAGUCGGGCUGCGGGUGGCUUAGCGGGCCUAAUCUGGCUGUAGGCUACGACCCAGGUUGUGUUGGCCCAGUAUAAAGUUUUCUUAUGUUAAUGAAUUUAGCUGCUGGAUCGUUUCUUUUAUGGGUUGUCGUUGGUUUUAGGCCGAAAAUAAGUAUUGAGUCGUUUUGUUUAUUUUCAGUGCAUUUGAUGUGUUUCAAGUGGACUAAAAAAAAAAGGGUUGUUUCAAGUUUUCUUUUGAUGGUUUAUGCACUGUUUUAUUAAGAAACAAUAUGCCCAAAAAUGUCUAACAGGCAGUAUUAAUAAUGAUAUUGUUUUUUCUUUCAAGGGCUGCCGUGGGUUCCUAUCAGCCAAAUUAUGUCUUUUAGGAAAUUGGUAUUUUUGGUGCUUUUGAAUCAUCUUGUUAAUAUUAGUAAUAAUUUUUUAUGCACUGUUAAUACGUCUUGAUUGCCUAAAUUAUGCUAAAGAUAAUGUUUGAAUUUUCUGAAUAAAAUGGACCAAUGAGAAAUUUUAUUUCGAAAAUAUUAAUGUGGUAUAAUGUAAAUGCCAUAUAUGGCAUUUUUAAUGAUGGAAUGUUAAUGUCAUAAAAUUGUAUUUAUUGUGAAGAGAUUUCCUAUGAUGAUAACUUUUUUUUUGAAAUUUUAUCUUAUUGUGAAAUUCAUAUUAAGGCCAGUCUUAUGGCAUUUCUUAAUGAUGUGAUCAUUUCUACUGGGCUAAAGCCACCUCAAGGAGAAUGUGAUGGUCGCAUGGUUCAGUUUUUCCGCACUGCACUAUGCGGCAUAAUAAUGUUGCAGCGAUGUGCCUAUUGGGCAAAACUAAAGUUUUUUUUGGUUGGUGCAUUUCAUGCCAUUUUAUUAUGAUAUGCACCAUUGAAAAUAUGCAUAAAGACACAAAAUAUUAUUUAUGGAGUCAUGAUCAAUCCCCUAAGAAUACUAUUAUUAUUUUUGCUUAGGGUAUCUAUUUUCGAAAGUACAUGUUGUCAUUUGUUUGACAACUCUCAUUUGCCAAAUAUUGUUAAUUUCUGAAUCCUUAUGAAUAUUUAUGUCCAAAUUUUCUUAUUUGGAAAAUGGUAUGAUAUCCUGACAAUAAUAUUAAUGUUGUUUUCACUCCGAGUGUCAAGAUUAAUGUUUACUCAGUGGAAAUGAAUUUACAUUUAUAUGUUAAUUCUAAUGUCAUUUUCAUUGUAUGUCAUUGAGAAUUUUAUUGAUAAGUUUAACACUUAUGUUUAAUAUUUAUACUAUCAAUGUCACAUUUAGUGUUAAAAGUCAUCAUUGUGCCUCAUAGCACACAUGAUUAUAUAAUAUUGUUGCUUUAUGCAAAUGUUGGCUAUUAGCCGGUGUUCUUGCUGGUCAUUAUGUGAUUUUAUAUCUCUCUAAUCGAAAUGGAACCAACGAGAAGUUUUGAUUAGCGAUUUUCAAGAAAAUAAUGUAAUGGCAUAUGGUAAUAUUCCGACCAACGUUGAUUAUUUUUCAUGUGUAAUUAAUGAGUAAAUAAGGUUCUUUAUGUUUUUUCCCAACGGGGAUACAUAUUAGAACAACAAUUAAGCAUGUCUUUAGUUCAUCUUAUUAUAUGGUUAAUUCAUGUUGAUGUUUUUUAUUGUGAUGGUGAUAAAGUUGCCUCCACUUUUUCCAGCAAUGAACAUUAAAAAUGAUGCCAUUUUGUUUGACAUAGACGAACCUUAUGCAAAGAACUUUCCCACAUGGAGAGUGGAGAUCAUUGUCUCAUGUAAGGAAUCUCCCAAUGUUUUUCUGCCACUAAGGUUGAAGGAUGUUAAUCAUGAUGAUAAGGCAGACAUUGGGAGAGAUCUCAAGACGCAUGUGCCAUCAUGCACAUUACUAAUGCAAAGGAGACUAAAGUCAAAACUAUUGGAUUUAUUCCACUAGCUUUUGGAGAUGACUUAAUUUUUCCAUCUUAUUGAUGAUAUUUUGUUCAUGCUCCUAGUUAUUGGAGAACCUUAACUCUCAAACAGAUGAGGUGAUUUUGUAUGUUAUUAAGUUAACUCCAAUUAUGUAAUGUUAGUCCCACCUUGGUGAGAUGGGUUAUGUUUUCACUAAAUAAAUCUUUUGUAAAAAUUAUAUGCUAUGUUACAAUUGAAGAUGUAAAAGAAGUGUAACUAAUGCGACCUCAUCAAAAUUGUGGUUUUAGACCACAUUUCGAGGGGGAGAAUGGAAGUCUCAUUUAAUAUGAGAUGUGACGUUCACUUCUCCUACUUAGACCAUAUCAUGUACAACUAAGCAAAAUAUGUAUCUCAAUUCUCUAAUUAAGAUGGAACCAACGAGAAGUCUUGGUUGGAGAGAAUGUAUGAAAAGCACAUUAUAAUGUUGGUUGUCUAAUUAAGAUGCAACAAGUCUUAUUUAGAAGAAUGAAUGAAAAAUAACUCCUUUAUUAUGUUAAUGUGUACUUAGUCCCUUAUGAGCAUUAUGAAGCACACAUGAAUGCUAAAGUGGCAAGCUUGCUAGUCUAAUGACCGUCAUGAUGUAACAUGUUGAUUAUAUAUCUGACCAACGUCGUUUAUAAUCAUAUGGGACACUCACUCAAGUGGCAUGUUUGUCAGUAUUAUGUGGCUUGUGGUUGUAUUUCUGACUAACGUUGUUUAUAAUCAUUUGUCACGGUUCAUUAAGUUCUUUUCCAUCUUCAGCCCAACGGUGUUGUGGUUUAGAGCUGAGAUGAUUGUUAUUAAUAUUUUGGAUAUAUUUUCCAUCUUCUAAAUAAAGUGAUCAUCAGGGAACCUGGAGCGUAUGAACAUUAAUCUUAAGGAUAACUUCAUUAGAUCUUUGUUCAUAUGCAUCAGGUAAAUUGAGGGGAAUUUAUUUUUCUCUAAUGCAAUACUUAUUGUUGAGACUCAACAAUUUCCCGACGAUAGAUAAUGUGUGUGAAUGAUCAUCUUAGUGGCUUGUUGCCAUAUAGGAUGAAGAUUAUGAGCCCUAAUGAUGUAUGGAACUCCAUAGAAUUCCUCAGUGAGUUGUUGUGACAUUUGUGUUAUUACUACGACAUGCUCUUGUGUUGACUUAGUUGAUAAUGUAUGUAUGACUCAACUGUACAGUUUUGUCAUGGGUGAAGUUGACAUAAGGCAUGUUAUCUAAAGAAAUACAAUUAUGAGAUAAUACAAGUGUUGGGACACUCAUACCAUAAGACGAGGGGGAGUAAGGUCACUACCUUGUGGAGAUAGAAUAUUUUGGCGAGCCAAGUAAUUUCUAUCUUCUAUUUGUAACAUGAAGGAUCUUGGUGAUGCCUCAUACUUUGCUUCUAUUGAGUUUCACCAAGAUAUAGGUUCAAAAGGAGUAUAAGUUUUAUUAUGAUGACAUCAUUGAUAGAGUACGGAAGAAAAUAUUACAUGGUAGUACGUACUCUAUCUCACCUGCUACUAAAUUCAAGGGCAAUAAAGGUGGACAGUUUAGUGUCCAAGGAACCAUUAUGAACUGAUAAGGUAAUGUUAGUUCCUUAUGCUUCAGUUGUCAGAAGCAAUGCAAGUAUUCAAAUAUCAACUUACCCUAUUUAUGACCGGGAUAAUUGGCAAAUAUACAAGUCCAGAAAUGGACAACCGGAGAAGCCGUGAAAAGUCUUGUAGAUAUGCAAGGCAAUAAAAGUUUACAUGCUCACUACUAACAAGUCUGAUAACCUCAAUAUCCUUGGUUAUUCAGACAUUGUUUCUGCGAGGUGUGUGGAUAUUAAAGUUUCCACGUUAUGUUACAUCCUCACUCUCGCAUAUGGAGCUAUAUCGUGGAAAAGCUCCAUAAUGACAUUGAUGGCAUUAGAAAUAAUGCAAUUUACGAUGUGGCACGUUAAGAGGCUAUUGGGCGGGUUGUAUGUCAAAGAAGUUCUAUUCACGAAAUUAAGGUGGUAGACAACAUUUAUAAAAACCACCUACUGCAUUAUGAACACACAGUUUUCUAUGCGAGUAACAACAAGUCAAAUGGUGUUGCCAAAACCAUUGACAAUAUGUAUCAUGUUGUGAAAGAUAGAAUCCAAGAUCAAGCUAAUGAUGUUAAGCAUAUAAAAAUGAUUUGUAUGUAUUACGGAUCCGUUUACCAAAGAGGCUCACCACCCAUACUCAUGAUUAUGUUGCCGGCAUGGGUUAGGAAAGCUUUUUGAUCCUGGAAAUUAGGACCAUCUUAUAAACCAACUCCCAAAAGGUAUUAUGUUUUCCAUUUCGAGAUAGAGUGAUGUACUAUAGGUAAAGAGGUUCAGUGGCAUCUCAUUGGUCAUUGCAACACUUUAUUUUGGUGUGUUAUUUCUAUCGAGUGUGGGCUUAUGACGUUUAUUAACCAUACGAUCAAGGGGGAGAAUGUUGGAAUUGAUCUACGGUUAUAACAAACUGAGACAAAGAAGGGGAGGAUUUGCAUCCCCAGUACAUGCCCUGAUCGGGGGCAUUGACCCAACUUUUGGUUUUGGUCCCUGUCCCCUUCGCACCACUUACAAAAUGAGGAGGUCGUACCCCUUGGGGGUAACACACGUACGGGUUAGCACCCGGUUACUCCUAACAGCCGAUCCUGAAAGGGUGCUUAAGGGGAUCAGAAGACCACCACCACCGCCGGCCACCUCCAGGUCCGUGCCGGCGACAUCCUUCGUGUCUGCUACAUCGCCUGCUGAUGCCCUUCCUCCCGACGAUCUUCUCACUGCUGGAGAUGCUAAGGUGGAGCCAGGGGCUAUCCUGUUAAUGGAUCAAGAUAAUCACGGUUAGUAACCACUAUUCUGCUUGAUGGGUGUUCUAAUCAAGAGAUCCAGAUCCUAGUUAUCUUAACUCUAAAGUAUUAUUGUUAACAUCCACAGCCCGGCAUCUUUCUCCUGUCCGAGAAACUUGGGAGUGUGAGUAGUGCUGGGGCGCCAGAGAUGGUCUGGAAACGCCCGCACAAACUCUUUCCUCUGGGACACCAUGGCGAGGUCGGCUUUGGUGAGCCUCACGGCAAACCCCGUGAAGACCUCGGUGUAGGUAUGGAUGAGGCGUGGCUCAUGGGAGCCGGCGAGAGGCGUUGGCAGGAAAGAAUCCUGCCACCAGCGGUGGUCGUCCUCGCUGCCGGCGUCGACGGGUGGCCUCAGCAGCACAAUGUAUGUGCGAUGGCUUGGAGAGAGGCCUGCACCUAGGUCGUCGCAUACCGCAGGUGCAGGAGCAUGAGGGUGAACGAGAAAAGUGAGAUCAGGAGAUUGGCGAAGGAUGCCAUGGCUGGAGCUGCGAUUCCGAAAGGAAGCUGGGGGUGACGCCAAUGUGCGUGAGCUUGGUGUGUGAGGAGGAGAGGUGGUGCUGGUGGUGCUGGUGGUGGAAGGAACCGAGAGGGAGAGAGGACGACCGGGUGGUGGCGGCAGCGCACAGGAUCUUCCUCGACUGGAAGGGGGGCACGGCACGGCGCAGAGCAGCAAAUGCGUCUUCCUCUUUCGCUCACUCUACCUCGGUUGGAUUUGUGAGAGAAAGAAAGAUGGGCAGAGCACAAGAAUGGCUUCGGGGCCUCAAGUUAAAUGCUGCGUGCUGAACCUUCAAGCCCUAGAUGCUCCUGUGCCUAUACGUGACGUGGGUCAAAUCAGAUUGUUCGGUCUGGUUCGUCCUUGAGCUACAUGGCUAGGGAGAGGGUCGUGUCGUCUGUGGGGUGGCUGGGUAAAAGAUUCCAAACGAAAAGGCUUCCUGCACUGCGAGACGCCACAGAGUUCCACCGAAUAAUCUUUGUAUCAUGUAUCUAAUCACAUCAGGGGAGUGGUAGAGACAGAAAGCUAAGGUAAGAGUUUCGAUCAACAUAUCUGCUAGUCCCUGCAAAGCACACAAGGGCAAGGCUAUCCUUUAUAGACACCGGCGUGUGUCGAGCUUGCGCUGGUGGAGAGAAAGCCUCCAAACAAACAAAGGUUCAACCGCGUCAGCACGCAGCUUGCAGAGCUGAUGGGAAAUGGUGGAGGAGGGAACAGGGAAGUGACCCAAAGGGAGAGAGGACUAGUGGCGGUGGUGGCCUGGUGGUGGGUGCACUGC
rnacentral:lncRNA from 1 species